GAUGAAGAACGUAGCGAAAUGCGAUAAGUAAUGUGAAUUGCAGAAUUCAGUGAAUCAUCGAAUCUUUGAACGCACCUUGCACCCUUUGGCAUUCCGAAGGGUAUGCUCGUUUGAGUGUCAUUGUACUCUCACUCUCCCGAUACUUUUGGAUCGGGAGUGGUGGACUUGGGUGCUGCUGCUUAACUGUGGCUCGCCUUAAAUGAAGUAGUGCAACUCUCGGUUGGACAUAGUACGGCGUGAUAAGUGUCUUCGCCGGCGCCUCAUUCGAGGGUGGCCGAUCGGGAGCUCUGUGCUUCAAACUGUCUUCGGACAACAUCUGACAACUUGACCUCAAAUCAAGUAGGACUACCCGCUGAACUUAAGCAUAUCAAUAAGCGGAGGA
rnacentral:misc_RNA from 1 species